GUAGGUGAACCUGCGGAAGGAUCAUUAACACAAAGCUUGUGUAUGCGCUGUGGCUUUACCGCUCUCGCACUACGCAUCUUUUCACCCCCCCUUUAUGCAAACGUGUUUUUCUAUACAGUCUUCCCGGGUGUAGUUUUCAGCUCCAAGUUUUUUUUUUGGGACUUUUAGCUGUGGCUAUGUCUGUGGUUUAACACCAAAAUACUAAACCCCCUUGAAUUUUUUUUUGACUGACAUCUGAGUCACUAAUUUAAUCGUUAGUGCCUCUGCCAUUAUAUUUUAACGCUGAACAACUCUUAGCAACGGAUAUCUUGGCUCUC
rnacentral:misc_RNA from 1 species